UACGGGGGGGGCAAGCGUUGUUCGGAAUUACUGGGCGUAAAGGGCUCGUAGGCGGCCAACUAAGUCGGAUGUGAAAUCCCCAGGCUCAACCUGGGAACUGCAUCCGAUACUGGAUGGCUUGAAUUCGGGAGAGGGAUGCAGAAUUCCAGGUGUAGCGGUGAAAUGCGUAGAUAUCUGGAGGAAUACCGGUGGCGAAGGCGGCAUCCUGGACCGACAUUGACGCUGAGGCGCGAAAGCUAGGGGAGCAAACGGG
rnacentral:rRNA from 1 species